GAGGAAUAUUGGACAAUGGGUGCAAGCCUGAUCCAGCCAUCCCGCGUGAAGGAUUAAGGACCUAUGGUUUGUAAACUUCUUUUGUACAGGGAUAAACCUAUCUACGUGUAGAUAGCUGAAGGUACUGUACGAAUAAGCACCGGCUAACUCCGUGCCAGCAGCCGCGGUACUACGGAGGGUGCAAGCGUUAUCCGGAUUUAUUGGGUUUAAAGGGUCCGUAGGCGGAUCUAUAAGUCAGUGGUGAAAGCCGACAGCUUAACUGUCGAACUGCCGUUGAUACUGUAGGUCUUGAGUAAAUUUGAAGUGGCUGGAAUAAGUAGUGUAGCGGUGAAAUGCAUAGAUAUUACUUAGAACACCAAUUGCGAAGGCAGGUCACUAAGAUUUAACUGACGCUGAUGGACGAAAGCGUGGGGAGCGAAC
rnacentral:rRNA from 1 species